rnacentral:rRNA from 2 species
AAGAAAUUUAAUAAUUUUGAUAUUGGAUUUUUUUGUUUUGGCAAGAGCGUGAGAGCUUUUACUGGGCAAGAAGACAAGAGAUGGAGAGUCCAGCCGGGCCUGCGCUUAAGUGCGCGGUCUUGCUAGGCUUGCAAGUUUCUUUCUUGCUAUUCCAAACAGUGAGACUUCUCUGUUUUUGUUAUAGGACAAUUAAAACCGUUUCAAUACAACACACUGUGGAGUUUUUAUACUUUUGCAACUUUUUCUUUGGGUUUCGAGCAAUCGAGCCCAGAGGUAACAAACACAAACAAUUUUAUUUAUUCAUUAAAUUUUUGUCAAAAACAAGAAUUUUCGUAACUGGAAAUUUUAAAAAUAAUUAA